rnacentral:lncRNA from 1 species
ACUAUUCUAGAUCGACAACUUAUACAAAGUAAAUAAAAACAAAGAUAUAUAAGCAUGAAAAAUAAUUCUUUAUCAUAUGAAGAAAAAGAAAUAUAAAAGAUCUCAUAAUGAAAAAUACUGUCUAAAAAGAUUAUAGAUAGAGCUCCUGAGAGGUGGUUGUCUAGUCGGCCAUCAGGAGAUUCUUCACUAUGAUCUGCAUCUUAAACUUUGGAGAUUCCUUUCUUG